rnacentral:rRNA from 1 species
GAUGAACGCUGGCGGCGUGCCUAAUACAUGCAAGUCGAGCGAACGGACGAGAAGCUUGCUCCUCUGAUGUUAGCGGCGGACGGGUGAGUAACACGUGGAUAACCUACCUAUAAGACUGGGAUAACUUCGGGAAACCGGAGCUAAUACCGGCAGAUAUUUUGAACCGCAUGGCUCAAGAGUUAAGGACGGUCUUGCUGUCACUUAUAGAUGGAUCCGCGCUGCAUUAGCUAGUUGGUAAGGUAACGGCUUACCAAGGCAACGAUGCAUAGCCGACCUGAGAGGGUGAUCGGCCACACUGGAACUGAGACACGGACCAGACUCCUACGGGAGGCAGCAGUAGGGAAUCUUGCGCAAUGGGCGAAAGCCUGACGGAGCAACGCCGCGUGAGUGAUGAAGGUCUUCGGAUCGUAAAACUCUGUUAUUAGGGAAGAACAGAUGUGUAAGUAACUGUGCACGUCUUGACGGUACCUAAUCAGUAAGCCACGGCUAACUUCGUG